CAGGGGACACCCAGGGGACACCCAGGGGACAGCUGGGGACAGCUGGGGACACCCAGGGGACACCCAGGGGACACCAGGGACACCCAGGGGACACCCAGGGGACACCAGGGACACCCAGGGGACACCCAGGGGACACUGAGGGGACACCCAGGGGACACUGAGGGGACACCCAGGGGACAGCUGGGGACAUUGGGGACACAUUGGGGACAUUGGGGACACCUUGGGGACAGCUGGGGGAUAUUGGGGACAUUGGGGGGGACACUGGGGACACCUUGGGGACACCUGGGGACACCUGGGGGACAUUGGGGGGACAUUUGGGACACCUUGGGGACAUUGGGGAUUUGGGGAAUUUUCUCCGGAAUUCCCGCAUUUCCCCCGGAAUUCCCAGAUUUCCCCCGGAAUUCCCGGAUUUCCCCCGGAAUUUGAGGAAUUUUGGCUCAGGAAUUCCCAGAUUUCCCCCGGAAUUUGGGUGAUUUGGGCUCAGGAAUUCCCAGAUUUCCCUGGAAUUUGGGGAAUUUUGGCUCAGGAAUUCCCAGAUUUCCCCCGGAAUUCCCGGUUUUCCCCAGAAUUUGAGGAAUUUUGUCUCAGGAAUUCCCGGAUUUCCCCAGGAAUUCCCAGAUUUUCCCUGGAAUUGGGUGAUUGGCUCAGGAAUUCCCAGAUUUUGGCUCAGGAAUUCCCGGAUUUCCCCGGAAUUUUAGGAAUUUUGGCUCAGGAAUUCCCGGAUUUCCCCGGAAUUUGGGUGAUUUGGGCUCAGGAAUUCCCGGAUUUCCCCGGAAUUUGAGGAAUUUUGGUUCAGGAAUUCCCGGAUUUCCCCCGGAAUUUGAGGAAUUUGGGCUCAGGAAUUCCCGGAUUUCCCCUGGAAUUUGGGUGAUUUUGGCUCAGGAAUUCCCGGAUCCCCCCAGAAUUCCCGGAUUUCCCCGGAAUUUGAGGAAUUUCGGCUCAGGAAUUCCCGGAUUCCCCCGGAAUUCCCAGAUCCCCCUGGAAUUUGGGGAAUUUCCCCUGGAAUUUGAGGAAUUUUGGCUCAGGAAUUCCCGGAUUCCCCCGGAAUUCCCAGAUUUUCCCCCGGAAUUCCCGGAUUUUGGCUCAGGAAUUCCCAGAUUCCCCCCGGAAUUCCCGGAUUCCCCCCGGAAUUUGGGUGAUUUGGGCUCAGGAAUUCCCGGAUUCCCCCAGAAUUCCCGGAUCCCCCCGGAAUUUGGGUGAUUUGGGCUCAGGAAUUCCCAGAUUCCCCCCGGAAUUCCCGGAUUUUGGCUCAGGAAUUCCCGGAUUUCCCCGGAAUUCCCGGGCCCCCCCGGAAUUUGGGAACCGUGCCCUCGCAGGUGGCCGAGGCGGUGGCGCAGCCGCUGCUGGGGACGCGCCGGGUGACGCUCGUGGGCGGCUCCGGCGCCGUCGGAGUGGCCAAAAUUCCCGCGGAAAUCCUGGAUCUGGUGACGCGGCUGCCGGGAGCCGUCGGGGCCCUGGCCAGGGGCUCCCAGGUGAGAGCCAGGAGGAAUUCGGGGGGAAUUUGGGGGGAUU
rnacentral:lncRNA from 1 species